rnacentral:misc_RNA from 1 species
CCAAAACGUUCAGCUCCUGCUGGUUCUUCUUACUCAAGAGGGUGGGGCAACGUAGGUCACGUUCAUAGUCUCAAAUCCAAAUCAACAAAACCUCUGCAACAACAGCAAAUAUUUUCUUUCUUUAGUAGAAAAUCAUUUAAAGAUUUGGGAUGCACUUGCUUUAUGAUUGAAUCUUUGAAGGGGCAGUUUUUCGUACGCCCUUCACAUAUUCAGGCC